rnacentral:rRNA from 1 species
GUGCCAGACUCCUACGGGAGGCAGCAGUGGGGAAUAUUGCACAAUGGGGGAAACCCUGAUGCAGCAACGCCGCGUGAGUGAAGAAGUAUUUCGGUCUGUAAAGCUCUAUCAGCAGGGAAGAAGAUGACGGUACCUGAGUAAGAAGCCCCGGCUAACUACGUGCCAGCAGCCGCGGUAAUACGUAGGGGGCAAGCGUUAUCCGGAUUUACUGGGUGUAAAGGGAGCGCAGACGGUGAGACAAGUCUGAAGUGAAAGCCCGGGGCUCAACCCCGGGACUGCUUUGGAAACUGCCUGACUGGAGUGCUGGAGAGGCAAGCGGAAUUCCUAGUGUAGCGGUGAAAUGCGUAGAUAUUAGGAGGAACACCAGUGGCGAAGGCGGCUUACUGGACUGUAAAUGACGCUGAGGCUCGAAAGCGUGGGGAGCAAACAGGAUUAGAUACCCUAGUAC